rnacentral:rRNA from 1 species
AUACGUAGGGGGCGAGCGUUGUCCGGAGUUAUUGGGCGUAAAGGGCGUGUAGGCGGCCUGUUAAGUCAGGUGUGAAAUUUCAGGGCUUAACCCUGAAACUGCGUUUGAAACUGGCAGGCUUGAGGACAGGAGAGGAAAGUGGAAUUCCCGGUGUAGCGGUGAUAUGCGUAGAUACCGGGAGGAACACCAGUGGCGAAGGCGGCUUUCUGGACUGCACCUGACGCUGAGGCGCGAAAGCCAGGGGAGCGAACGGGAUUAGAUACCCCGGUAGUCCUGGCCGUAAACGAUGGGUACUAGGUGUGGGAGGUAUCGACUCCUUCCGUGCCGGAGUUAACACAAUAAGUACCCCGCCUGGGGAGUACGGCCGCAAGGCUGAA